AGGGUUUGAUUAUGGCUCAGGAUGAACGCUGGCGGCGUGCCUAAUACAUGCAAGUCGAACGCUUUGUAAAGGAGCUUGCUUCUUUACAGGGAGUGGCGAACGGGUGAGUAAUACAUAAGCAAUCUGCCCAUCGGCCUGGGAUAACAGUUGGAAACGACUGCUAAUACCGGAUAGGUGAUUGAGAGGCAUCUCUCGAUCAUUAAAGUUGGGAUACAACACGGAUGGAUGAGCUUAUGGCGUAUUAGCUAGUAGGUGAGGUAACGGCCCACCUAGGCGAUGAUACGUAGCCGACCUGAGAGGGUGACCGGCCACAUUGGGACUGAGACACGGCCCAA
rnacentral:rRNA from 1 species